CAAAUUACCUUUUGCAUCAUGGGCUUAUUAUAAUAUUGGUCAAUUCCGGAUCCCGAAAAGUUAACGAGCUAUAUAAUUAUUAUUUUCUUCAUUGUAGAGCAGAGUUAAAAUGGGUAUAUAGGGGUGAUAGGCUUGACAAGUUGCUUGAUAGCUGGUUGUGUAGGAAAAAUAUUAAGUAGUGUGUCAGACUAAUAAUGUUUAGGUUAUUAGUUAACAUAAAAUGUGAUUUAUAAGUGUUAUCCAGUGUAAAAGCUAAUAACAAAGGAUGUUAAUAUUUAACUUUUAGACUUGUGUUAUUUACUACAUCGAGAAUUCUAGCAAUAUAUUUGAUUAUGUAAGUAUGAGUAGUAAUAAAAUUUACACCAAAGGAACUCGGCAAAUAUACUUCCCAACUGUUUAACAAAAACAUAACCACAUGUUGUAUUAUAUGUGGCUAUACCUGCUCCAUGGUUUACUAAAUAGCCGCAGUACCCUGACUGUGCAAAGGUAGCAUAAUCAUUUGGCCUCUAAUUAAGGUCUGGCAUGAAUGGGAUUAUGGGGAGUGACUGUCUGGGUGUAUUUAUUUGAAUUUAAUAAACAAGUGCAAAUGCUUGUGUAUCUAAAAUAGACGAGAAGACCCUAGAAGCUUGAACAUUUUUUGUUGGGGCGACAGAAUUGCAUUUAACCAAUUUUAAGUGAUAUGACUAUUAAAGAUAGAUAAAGCUACUCUAGGGAUAACAGCAUAAUAUUUCAAAGUUUGUGACCUCGAUGUUGGACUAGGUAAAAUAUUCUUUAGAAGAGGAUGUUUGAAGCUCUGUUCGAGCAUAUUCACCUACAU
rnacentral:rRNA from 1 species